rnacentral:misc_RNA from 1 species
AAGUCGUAACAAGGUUUCCGUAGGUGAACCUGCGGAAGGAUCAUUACAAAAAUCCAUCCAAUUUACACCAUUGUGAACCCGCCUGGUGCGCAGCUGUGGCUGUCGCUGGGUAACUGUGCUGGUGUCCGAACGGUACGUCGCUGUGGCUUUGCGCAAUAUAAUGUUGUCAGGCCAGAGGGGCGAGCGUUUUGACUGCCACACGGUAAAUUAACUAUUAGUCGUCUAAUUGUGAAAAAAAAUACGCAAACAACUUUUAACAGUGGAUCUCUUGGCUCUU